rnacentral:rRNA from 1 species
GAUUAGAGUUUGAUCAUGGCUCAGGACGAACGCUGGCGGCGUGCUUAACACAUGCAAGUCGAACGGUGAACCGGUGCUUGCACCGGGGAUCAGUGGCGAACGGGUGAGUAACACGUGAGCAACCUGCCCCUGACUCUGGGAUAACUUCGGGAAAUCGGAGCUAAUACCGGAUAUGAGACGUACAGGCAUCUGUUGCGUCUGGAAAGAUUUAUCGGUUGGGGAUGGGCUCGCGGCCUAUCAGCUUGUUGGUGGGGUAAUGGCCUACCAAGGCGACGACGGGUAGCCGGCCUGAGAGGGCGACCGGCCACACUGGGACUGAGACACGGCCCAGACUCCUACGGGAGGCAGCAGUGGGGAAUAUUGCACAAUGGGCGAAAGCCUGAUGCAGCGACGCCGCGUGGGGGAUGAAGGCCUUCGGGUUGUAAACCCCUUUCAGCAGGGAAGAAGCGAAAGUGACGGUACCUGCAGAAGAAGCGCCGGCUAACUACGUGCCAGCAGCCGCGGUAAUACGUAGGGCGCAAGCGUUGUCCGGAAUUAUUGGGCGUAAAGAGCUCGUAGGCGGUUUGUCGCGUCUGCUGCGAAAACCCGAGGCUCAACCUCGGGCCUGCAGUGGGUACGGGCAGACUAGAGUGCGGUAGGGGAGACCGGAAUUCCUGGUGUAGCGGUGGAAUGCGCAGAUAUCAGGAGGAACACCGAUGGCGAAGGCAGGUCUCUGGGCCGCAACUGACGCUGAGGAGCGAAAGCAUGGGUAGCGAACAGGAUUAGAUACCCUGGUAGUCCAUGCCGUAAACGUUGGGCACUAGGUGUGGGACUCAUUCCACGAGUUCCGUGCCGCAGCUAACGCAUUAAGUGCCCCGCCUGGGGAGUACGGCCGCAAGGCUAAAACUCAAAGGAAUUGACGGGGGCCCGCACAAGCGGCGGAGCAUGCGGAUUAAUUCGAUGCAACGCGAAAAACCUUACCAAGGCUUGACAUAUGCCGAAAACUCAUGGAGAAAUGGGGUCCGCAAGGGCGGUAUACAGGUGGGGCAUGGUUGUCGUCAGUUCGGGUCUGGGGAUGUUGGGUUAAGUUCCCGCAACGGAGGGGUUACCCUUGGCCAUAGUUGCUCACCAUUCAGUUGAGCCACUCUAUAUGGGACUUGCGCCGGUGGUACAAAUCGGGAAAGGGAGGUGGUGGGGUAUAGGACCGUCCAAGUUCCCUUCUAUUGGGGCCCUUAUAGUAGGGUGGGGGGCUUCACUACCCAACCGGCUCAUAUACAAAUGGGUGUGGGUUGUGGAUU